rnacentral:rRNA from 1 species
CCUACGGGUGGCAGCAGUGAGGGAUAUUGGUCAAUGGGGGAAACCCUGAACCAGCAACGCCGCGUGAGGGAAGACGGUUCUCGGAUUGUAAACCUCUGUCCUUCGUGAAGAUAAUGACGGUAGCAGAGGAGGACGCUCCGGCUAACUACGUGCCAGCAGCCGUGGUUAUACGGAGGAUCCGAGCGUUAUCCGGAUUUAUUGGGUUUAAAGGGAGCAUAGAUGGGUUGUUAAGUCAGUUGUGAAAGUUUGCGGCUCAACCGUAAGAUUGCAGUUGAUACUGGCAGUCUUGAGUACAGUUGAGGUAGGCGGAAUUCGUGGUGUAGCGGUGAAAUGCUUAGAUAUCACGAAGAACUCCGAUUGCGAAGGCAGCUUACUAAACUGCCACUGACAUUGAUGCUCGAAAGUGUGGGUAUCAAACAGGAUUAGAUACCCUUGUAGUC